rnacentral:rRNA from 1 species
GACGAACGCUGGCGGCGUGCUUAACACAUGCAAGUCGAACGGAAAGGCCCUGCUUUUGUGGGGUGCUCGAGUGGCGAACGGGUGAGUAACACGUGAGUAACCUGCCCUUGACUUUGGGAUAACUUCAGGAAACUGGGGCUAAUACCGGAUAGGAGCUCCUGCUGCAUGGUGGGGGUUGGAAAGUUUCGGCGGUUGGGGAUGGACUCGCGGCUUAUCAGCUUGUUGGUGGGGUAGUGGCUUACCGAGGCUUUGACGGGUAGCCGGCCUGAGAGGGUGACCGGCCACAUUGGGACUGAGAGGAGGCCCAGACUGCUACGGGAGGCAGCAGUGGGGAAUAUUGCAGAAUGGGCGGAAGCCUGAUGCAGCAGCGCCGCGUGCGGGAUGACGGCGUUCGGGUUGUAAACCGCUUUCGCCUGUGACGAAGCGUGAGUGACGGUAAUGGGUAAAGAAGCACCGGCUAAAUACGUG